AUUGAACGCUGGCGGCAUGCCUUACACAUGCAAGUCGAACGGUAACAGGUCUUCGGAUGCUGACGAGUGGCGAACGGGUGAGUAAUACAUCGGAACGUGCCCGAUCGUGGGGGAUAACGAGGCGAAAGCUUUGCUAAUACCGCAUACGAUCUACGGAUGACAGCGGGGGAUCUUCGGACCUCGCGCGGACGGAGCGGCCGAUGGCAGAUUAGGCAGGUGGUGGGAUAAAAGCUUACCAAGCCGACGAUCUGUAGCUGGUCUGAGAGGAUGAUCAGCCACACUGGGACUGAGACACGGCCCAGACUCCUACGGGAGGCAGCAGUGGGGAAUUUUGGACAAUGGGCGAAAGCCUGAUCCAGCCAUGCCGCGUGCAGGAUGAAGGCCUUCGGGUUGUAAACUGCUUUUGUACGGAACGAAAAGCCUCUUUCUAAUAAAGAGGGGUCAUGACGGUACCGUAAGAAUAAGCACCGGCUAACUACGUG
rnacentral:rRNA from 1 species